rnacentral:rRNA from 1 species
AAAUUGAAGAGUUUGAUCAUGGCUCAGAUUGAAUGCUGGCGGCAGGCCUAACACAUGCAAGUCGAACGGUAACAGGAAGAAGCUUGCUUCUUUGCUGACGAGUGGCGGACGGGUGAGUAAUGUCUGGGAAACUGCCUGAUGGAGGGGGAUAACUACUGGAAACGGUAGCUAAUACCGCAUAACGUCGCAAGACCAAAGAGGGGGACCCUCGGGCCUCUUGCCAUCGGAUGUGCCCAGAUGGGAUUAGCUUGUUGGUGGGGUAACGGCUCACCAAGGCGACGAUCCCUAGCUGGUCUGAGAGGAUGACCAGCCACACUGGAACUGAGACACGGUCCAGACUCCUACGGGAGGCA